UGAGUAAACAGGGCUGGGAUUCUGGGGAAGAAAACCAAGAUUGACUGGCAUCUACAUUUUAGAACAACUCGUCCCCUUGAUUAUUGAAAGCCUCAUCUUCAGUGGGAACUUUUUUGCUGGGCAUUUGCAUGGAACAAAAAUAACCUUGAAUUCUUAGUUAAUUCUGGGAGGUUUAUCCAAACCCCUUUGUCUCCAGCCAUCUGGUCAAAACCAUUAGUCAUUGGCCUUCAAUUGUUCCUCAUGCAAUGUCUCCUUCCAGGAAAAGUGGAACACAAUAUGUACCCUGCUAGUUUUGCCCACUAGUAGAAUUAUCUUUUCCACUCGCCCCCAGCAUCAUUUCAAUCAGGGUGGGAGUAGUAGAGCUACAGCAAUUCAUUUUUCACUGGUGCCAGUUUGUUGGACAGAGCUCUUUGUGAACCUGGCUGAAAAAGUUUUCUCUGUGAUUAACUUCUGGCAGAAAUCUUGCCACGUGGCCACAGGAAUGGUUUGAGGCAUGAUCUGCAGUCGGAAAAAACAUGCUGAGUUACCAACUUGCCUGAUCAGCUGCGGAUCAUGGUGCCUACGGACAGCACAUGAUUUUGUAAUGAUAGACCAUGUUAGCAAGAAGUUUGGAGGCCCCUGCAACAGAGAUGCAUUCCUUAUUUAGAAGCUCAUAGAUUCUGCAUUAUUGAGGCAACAACCCACUCCCAGAAGCUGCAAUCUGCUGCACCCCCAGCCAUGGUUCCCUGAAGGUAAGGGUGUAUCUCUAUUUUCACUGUCUGGGAGGCAAUAGAAGCACCUGCUAUGGUCCAGGAAUUAGUUGCAAGAAUGAUUCCUUGGAUUAAUUUGAAGGCCAUGGUGGUAUUCCCAUGAAACAUUUUGAUUUUUGCUCCUCUGGGACACCCCAGCUGGGUGCAGCCAGGCUCAGCCCAUCACUAGGACUUCCUGAACCAAGGGGAUCUGAUAGACCUCUGAAUUAAAAAAAAAAAAAAAACAAAACAAAACAAAAAAACAAAAAAACAAAAAAAAAACCCAUGCUGGUUCAUCGGCAUCCACUGCUCCAAUAUGCUGGCCAGUGCCAUUAUCUAUUAAGUCUUAUUUAGUGUUUUGAUACUAUUUUCUGCAUACAUAGCCUGUCAACUUCUCCUGAACAAAGUAUUUGAGAUAGUUACUAUUCCAAAUUUGGGUUCUGUGUGUCAACAGUCCUAUACAAAUAUGUUAACUGUAAAAACAAAACAAAACAAAAACCAAACUAAACCACCACAACAAAAAACCUAAAAUAUUCUUAAUGAAUUAAUUGUACUGAGAUAAUAGGCUUUUUUUCCAUGAAAACACAGAGGAGUUUAAACAUCAAAAGGAUUCAACAUCUAUUGAGGACCUGCAAAUUACUGGCCACUAUAAUGGGUGCUGGGAAUAGAGGCAUGAAUUAGCAAUGACUCUUGAUAUGCAGGAGAAAAGUGAAGGACAAAGACUUCCAAACAGAAAUUGAGUUUGUGUUGGUUGGAGAUAGGUGGCAGAGCUAGGUCACGUAAAGAUUCUGGCAUACAUGUAAGAGGUGUUUUCUUUUCAAAAGGUAGUUAGCUAGUUACAUUUGGUUUCAAUGCAAAGUAAAAUAUUGCUAUGUGAGGGCGUUACACUCCUCUUUAUCAAGCUCCUAGGGGUGCCUGCAGUGGAUGGCAGCAAGCCUAGUGCUCCAUUGUUUAUAACAAAAAAUGUUUUAAAAUGAAUAAAAAUCCCCUAAGUUCUGUUGUACA
rnacentral:lncRNA from 1 species